ACUAUAAGUUUCAAAUAUUUUACUUACAGACCCAAGUUCUUGCCUUCAAAGCCCAAAACUUAAAACCCUUUGAAUGUGUGAUUCUUCACACCCUUCCACAUGGAGAACACUACAAUACUGCAACACUUAGCUUGUAUCUUCAACAAGCCACAUCUGUUCUAGUCUCGGUACCUUCCAAUAUACUUUUCGCAUCCUGUGGGGGAUAUAAUUUAAAACAAAAUCCCCUUCCAACCCAGAAAACCUCUCCACAAAGUAAAUUUUUGCGUUGUUUUCUCUUUAAACAUCAAUUCAUAGUAUGAUGGCGCAUUACAGGCAAGCAUAAAGGGCCGCAGAGACAAAAGGAAGCCUCGCUCUCUGUAGCUGCGUGGACACGACCCGCUACCCUGGACAGGUCGCACAACUUGCAGUCGGGUGACAGACAGGUGACCCCUGAGUUCCAGGAUAGCGUGCGGCCGGGCUAUAGAUGCCCGGACAACCGCACCUGAACACGAGUGCCCGGUGCUUGGAAGGCCUGCAUCGGACUGCCGUGCCUCCGCCACUUGGGCUCACGCCGGCGCAGUACUCCCACAGGUCCACUACAGGCGCCAGGGUCGGGCGCGACCUCCUUCGGCCCGCCUCCGUCGCUCCCUCGACGCGGCCGGCUGCGCAGGCGCGCCCGCCCGUCACUAGACUUCCGCUCCGGGUCCUCGGGGGUUCACGUAGCAGCCUCUCGGGACGCCAUUUCGCAGCGCUGAUGGGUCACGUGAUUCGAGAGCGGCUGCCGGCAUGGCUGCUAGCCGUUGCUAGGCUUUGCGGCCGAAGGACCGUCCUGGGCGGUGUCAGCCCUCUACUGAAACGGGUCAGGAAGGACCUCGCUGCAGCCCAUCCCUUCCUACCACCUGGCAGUUACCUGCGCCCAUGGGCUACAGGAAGAAAACCAGUUCAGGGGCAGAUGCUUGAAGACACCAGCCUUCACAGGACUGCCAUCUGGGAGACAGCUCCACAUGAGUCUCCUUCCUGCAGUCCUAGGAGUGAGGUGCUGGCCCAGAUGGGCUCUUCAAAGUCAGGGAGCUGUGCAUCCUACCGGAAUCCAUGAACUGGCACGCCAUGUUGUCACCUGGUGGGGGCGCUUCACAGUUCCUGACAGGUUUGGGCACCAUGUGGUCUGCUUCUGGAGCAUGGACACCUGCUGUGUACUGGGACCUGGGCCCCCUGCCAUCUCCUGAACAGGAAAAGGACAUUUAAUAAAUGGUUCUUACAGUGUAGCACAGAGAAGACACGUAGUGACUCUGUGGCAUCUUACUAUACUGAUGGACAGUGACUGCAAUGAGAUGUGGGUGGGAUUUGAUAAUAUGGGUGAAUGUAGUAACCACAAUGUUUUUCAUGUGAAACCUUAAUUAAAAAAAAAAAACGGUUCUCAGAGUGCAAUUCA